GGGACCACUGGAUGAGGGGCCUGCGUAGCAUCAGCUAGUUGGUGGGGUAAUGGCCUACCAAGGCGAAGACGCUUAGCUGGUCUGAGAGGAUGAUCAGCCACACUGGGACUGAGACACGGCCCAGACUCCUACGGGAGGCAGCAGUGGGGAAUAUUGGACAAUGGGCGCAAGCCUGAUCCAGCCACGCCGCGUGAGUGAUGAAGGCCUUCGGGUCGUAAAGCUCUGUGGGGAGGGACGAACGGCGCCAUGAAGAGUGGCGAUUGACGGUACCUCCUUAGCAAGCACCGGCUAACUUCGUGCCAGCAGCCGCGGUAAUACGAAGGGUGCAAACGUUGCUCGGAAUCAUUGGGCGUAAAGCGCACGUAGGCGGCUUUCUAAGUCGGAUGUGAAAUCCCUCGGCUUAACCGAGGACGUGCAUCCGAAACUGGGAGGCUUGAGUAUGGAAGAGGGUCGCAGAAUUCCCGGUGUAGAGGUGAAAUUCGUAGAUAUCGGGAGGAAUACCAGUGGCGAAGGC
rnacentral:rRNA from 1 species